CCCUUAGAUGUUCUGGGCCGCACGCGUGCUACACUGAACGGUUCAAUGGGUAAGGUAGUGCGAAAGCAUGACCUAAUCUCGAAAUCCGUUCGUGCUGGGGAUAGAAGCUUGCAAUUAUCCUUCUUGAACGAGGAAUACCUUGUAAGCGUGAGUCAUCAUCUCACGCUGAAUACGUCCCUGCCCUUUGUACACACCGCCCGUCGCUCCUACCGAUUGAGUGUUCCGGUGAGGCCUUGGGAGAAUGGCCUCAACAUGAGUUUAUCGUGUUUUGCCGUUUGAACUUAGUCAAACCUUAUCACUUAGAGGAAGGAGAAGUCGUAACA
rnacentral:rRNA from 1 species